UCAAUCUCGUGUGGCUAAACGCCACUUGUCCCUCUAAGAAGUUACCAUCGACAGAGUGCAAUCGAUGAACUAUUUAGCAGGCUAGAGUCUCGUUCGUUAU
rnacentral:rRNA from 1 species